CAGUAGCCGCGGUAAUACGAAGGGGGCUAGCGUUGUUCGGAAUUACUGGGCGUAAAGCGCACGUAGGCGGAUUGUUAAGUUAGGGGUGAAAUCCCAGGGCUCAACCCUGGAACUGCCUCUAAUACUGGCAAUCUCGAGUCCGAGAGAGGUGAGUGGAAUUCCGAGUGUAGAGGUGAAAUUCGUAGAUAUUCGGAGGAACACCAGUGGCGAAGGCGGCUCACUGGCUCGGUACUGACGCUGAGGUGCGAAAGCGUGGGGAGCAAACAGGAUUAGAUACCCGAGUAGUCCCUGUCUCUUAUAC
rnacentral:rRNA from 1 species